rnacentral:rRNA from 1 species
GAUGAACGCUGGCGGCGUGCCUAAUACAUGCAAGUCGAGCGAACGGACGAGAAGCUUGCUUCUCUGAUGUUAGCGGCGGACGGGUGAGUAACACGUGGAUAACCUACCUAUAAGACUGGGAUAACUUCGGGAAACCGGAGCUAAUACCGGAUAAUAUUUUGAACGGCAUGGUUCAAAAGUGAAAGACGGCCUUGCUGUCACUUAUAGAUGGAUCCGCGCUGCAUUAGCUAGUUGGUAAGGUAACGGCUUACCAAGGCAACGAUGCAUAGCCGACCUGAGAGGGUGAUCAGCCACACUGGAACUGAGACACGGUCCAGACUCCUACGGGAGGCAGCAGUAGGGAAUCUUCCGCAAUGGGCGAAAGCCUGACGGAGCAACGCCGCGUGAGUGAUGAAGGUCUUCGGAUCGUAAAGCUCUUUUAUUAGGGAAGAACAUAUGUGUAAUUAACUGUGCACAUCUUGACGGUACCUAAUCAGAAAGCCACGGCUAACUUCGUG